rnacentral:lncRNA from 1 species
UCAUAUAAGGACGAGCAGUGCCAUUUGGCUAGUAUCAUUAGGCCUCCACUCAACUCGUAUGAGGACAAGAACUACCAGUUGACCAUUGUAGCUGGGGCCUCUACUCAACUCAUAUGAGGAUGAAGAGCGCCAUUUGGCCUACGUUAUUGGGCUUUCGCUCAACUCAUACAAGGAUGAGGAGUGCCAAUUCACCAUUGUAGCUAGGAUCUCCACUCAACUCGCACG